GAAGGAGGAAAGGGAGGAGGAGUUGGAGAAAGAGGAGGAGAAGAAAAAGAAUCAAGAUGAGGAGGAGGAAGAAGAGAAGAAAAGAGAGAAGAGAAGAAAGAGUGGGAAUAAUGAAGAAGGGGAGGUGGAAAGAGGGAGAACAAAUGGGGAGGAUGAAAAAAAGAAUAUGGGAUGGUGAGGGAACAGGAGAGAGAAAGGACUCUGGGAGGGAAGAAAAGGGAAGAAAAUCAAGGAGAGGAUGGGAAGGAUUCUAGGAGGAGUGGAAAGGGGAGGGAAGAAGAGAGCAGGGGGAGGAGCCUGACUAAAAGGGCCAACUCUCUUGGCUAUCUGGUCCAGUCUCCUUGUUUCUCUAUAAAAACCCUGGGACAGAAACACAACUGCAUGACAGACCUUGGCUCAUUUUUGACCUGACACGUGGCCAAGCAGACAGACAGAAAGGCAGCUGGAUAGCAGAGGAUGAGCUUGUUCCUAAAGCUGCUGGUCCUCACAGUGGCCCAGUCAGUGGUACGACAAAAAGGAAAUGAAGAUGACUGGUGCUAUGAUUCCCAAAAAAGCAUAAUUAAAUGUUUAGAUCCAUCGUUGUGGAAGUGGGGCUGCCUAGGUAGUAGUCAAUCCCCAAUUAACAUUGUCACCCAAAAUGCCAUUUACAGAAGGAGAGAUAGUUUCCGGUUCAGUGGCUAUGACAAACAGGACAAUUGGGUUAUUAAAAACAAUGGCCACACAGGUGAGUCAUUUCUCAGUGGUUUGGGGGAGGGACCAAACGGAGAGCA
rnacentral:lncRNA from 1 species